rnacentral:tRNA from 1 species
GUAGCUCAGCUGGAUAGAGCACCAGACUACGAAUCUGGGGGCCGGAGGUUCGAAUCCUUCCGGGCGCGCCA